GACGAACGCUGGCGGCGUGCUUAACACAUGCAAGUCGAACGGUAAGGCCCUUCGGGGUACACGAGUGGCGAACGGGUGAGUAACACGUGGGUGAUCUGCCCUGCACUUCGGGAUAAGCCUGGGAAACUGGGUCUAAUACCGGAUAGGACCACUGCCUGCCUGGGGGGUGGCGGAAAGCUUUUGCGGUGUGGGAGGGGCCCGUGGCCUAUCAGCUUGUUGGUGGGGUGAUGGCCUACCAAGGUGACGACGGGUAGCGGGCCUGAGAGGGUGACCGGCCACACUGGGACUGAGAUACGGCCCAGACUCCUACGGGAGGCAGCAGUGGGGAAUAUUGCACCAUGGGCGCAAGCCUGAUGCAGCGACGCCGCGUGAGGGAUGACGGCCUUCGGGUUGUAAACCUCUUUCAGCACCGACGAAGCGCAAGUGACGGUAGGUGCAGAAGAAGGACCGGCCAACUACGUGCCAGCAGCCGCGGUAA
rnacentral:rRNA from 1 species